rnacentral:rRNA from 1 species
UACGUAGGCAGCGAGCGUUGUUCGGAAUUACUGGGCGUAAAGAGUGUGUAGGCGGUGCUCUAAGUUCGGUGUGAAAUCUCCCGGCUUAACUGGGAGGGUGCGCCGGAAACUGGAGUGCUCGAGCGUGGGAGAGGAAAGCGGAAUUCCUGUGUAGCGGUGAAAUGCGUAGAUAUAGGAAGGAACACCAGUGGCGAAGGCGACCACCUGGACUGAUACUGACACUGAGGUGCGAAAGCGUGGGGAGCAAACAGG